UACGUAGGGUGCAAGCGUUAAUCGGAAUUACUGGGCGUAAAGUGUGCGCAGGCGGCAGAGCAAGUCGAGUGUGAAAGCCCCGAGCUUAACUUGGGAAUUGCGCUCGAAACUACUUUGCUGGAGUGUGGCAGAGGAAGGUGGAAUUCCAGGUGUAGCGGUGAAAUGCGUAGAGAUCUGGAGGAACACCGAUGGCGAAGGCAGCCUUCUGGGCCAACACUGACGCUCAUGCACGAAAGCGUGGGGAGCAAAAGGG
rnacentral:rRNA from 1 species